rnacentral:rRNA from 1 species
AGCAGCCGCGGUAAUUCCAGCUCCAAUAGCGUAUAUUAAAGUUGUUGCAGUUAAAAAGCUCGUAGUUGAAUUUCGGGGUUAGUAGGUUGGUCAUGCCUCUGGUAUGUACUGGUCUCACUGAUUCCUCCUUCCUGAUGAACCUUAAUGCCAUUAAUUUGGUGUUUUGGGGAAUUUGGACUGUUACUUUGAAAAAAUUAGAGUGUUUAAAGCAAGCUAACGCUUGAAUACAUUAGCAUGGAAUAAUGAAAUAGGACGUUCGAUCCUAUUUUGUUGGUUUCUAGGAUUGACGUAAUGAUUAAUAGGGAUAGUUGGGGGCAUUAGUAUUCAAUUGUCAGAGGUGAAAUUCUUGGAUUUAUUGAAGACUAACUACUGCGAAAGCAUUUGCCAAGGAUGUUUCAUUAAUCAAGAACGAAAGUUAGGGGAUCGAAGACGAUCAGAUACCGUCGUAGUCUUAACCAUAAACUAUGCCGACUAGGGAUCGGAUGAUGUUAAUUUUUAAUGACUCAUUCGGCGCCUUACG